rnacentral:rRNA from 1 species
GAUGAACGCUGGCGGCGUGCCUAAUACAUGCAAGUCGAGUGAACAGACGAGGAGCUUGCUCCUCUGACGUUAGCAGCGGACGGGUGAGUAACACGUGGAUAACCUACCUAUAAGACUGGGAUAACUUCGGGAAACCGGAGCUAAUACCGGAUAAUAUAUUGAACCGCAUGGUUCAAUAGUGAAAGACGGUUUUGCUGUCACUUAUAGAUGGAUCCGCGCCGCAUUAGCUAGUUGGUAAGGUAACGGCUUACCAAGGCAACGAUGCGUAGCCGACCUGAGAGGGUGAUCGGCCACACUGGAACUGAGACACGGUCCAGACUCCUACGGGAGGCAGCAGUAGGGAAUCUUCCGCAAUGGGCGAAAGCCUGACGGAGCAACGCCGCGUGAGUGAUGAAGGUCUUCGGAUCGUAAAACUCUGUUAUUAGGGAAGAACAAAUGUGUAAGUAACUAUGCGCGUCUUGACGGUACCUAAUCAGAAAGCCACGGCUAACUACGUG